GUGUCUCAUUAGAUUAUCAGCAGUCAUCAAAACCUGCAAAAGAGCUCUGCUAAAUGACUGUGGCAUAACUGACAAAAGUUGUCCAGCUCUGGCUUCAGUUAUUGGAUCAGAUACCAAUCUGAAAGAGCUGAACAUAAACAAUAAUAAUCUGCAGGACUCAGGAGUGAAGCUGCUCUGCACUGGACUUAAGGAUAUAAAUUGCAAACUAGAGAUACUGAGUCUGAAGAACAACUGUAUCACAGAAGGAGGUUGUAAUGUUCUGGCUGCAGCUCUAAAUUCAAACCCUUCAAAUCUGACAGAGCUGGAUCUGAACAGGAAUCAAAUAGGAGACUCUGGAGUGACAGAAAUCUCAGAUUAGGGCAGCACGAUGUGUCGUUUAAGCAUUGAUAUCGCAAUGUACGAAUCCACGAUAGUCACAUCGCAGGAUGUGCGAUGUAGGCUGUCGUAGUUGUUCCAUUAUUCAUUAACCGUACGGGCCAGCUGCUCCCCGACCCUUGAUGAAUGUAAUUCGCGGAUUAGUUGCACAGCUUAACCAUCAUAGAGUGAAAGUUUAUCAUUUGCAUGUGUUUUUAAGUCCUAUCAGUUUAACAGGGCACAUAUAAGAACAAGCAGAGAGAGAGAGAGAGAGAGA